rnacentral:rRNA from 1 species
GACGUAGGAGGCGAGCGUUGUCCGGAGUUACUGGGCGUAAAGCGCACGUAGGCGGUUCGUUAAGUCGGAUGUGAAAGCCCUCGGCUCAACUGAGGAAGUGCACCCGAAACUGGCGAGCUUGAGUACGAAAGAGGAUCGCGGAAUUCCCGGUGUAGAGGUGAAAUUCGUAGAUAUCGGGAGGAACACCGGUGGCGAAGGCGGCGAUCUGGGUCGAUACUGACGCUGAGGUGCGAAAGCGUGGGGAGCAAACAGGG